GGCUCAGUAACACGUGGAUAAUCUGCCCUUAGGUUGGGAAUAGCCUCUGGAAACUGAGGAUAAUACCCUAUAUGGAAAUUCUACUGGAAUGUUUUUUUCCGCAAACGUAAGGCCUAAGGAUGAGUCGGCGGUCGAUUAGGUAGUUGGUGAGGUAAUGGCUCACCAAGCCUAUGAUCGAUAGGGGCCUUGAGAGAGGUAACCCCGAGAAGGCCACUGAGAUACUGGCCCUAGCCCUACGGGGUGCAGCAGGCGCGUAACCUUUACAAUGCACGAAAGUGUGAUAAGGGAAUCCCAAGUGCUUUGCUUUUAGUAAGGCUUUUGCCAACUGUAAAUAGGUUGGCGAAUAAAUGGUGGGUAAGACUUGUGCCAGCCGCCGCGGUAACACCAGCGCCAUAAGUGGCAACCACUUUUAUUGGGCCUAAAGCGUCCGUAGCCGGUUCAGUAAAUUUCCUGUGAAAUUGUUGGGCUUAACCUAACAUCGUGCAGGAAACACUACUGAACUUGGGACCGGGAGGCGUCAGARGUAUUCCUGAGGGAGCGGUAAAAUGCUAUAAUCUCAGGAGGACCCCCUGUGGCGAAAGCGUCUGACGAAAACCGAUUCCACGGUGAGGGACCAAAGCUAUGGGAGCCAAACCGGAUUAGAUACCCGAGUAGUCCUAGCUGUAAACUCUGCGAGCUAGGUGUUACACAUUCUUCGGGAAUGUGUAGUGUCGAAGCGAAGGUGUUAAGCUCGCCGCCUGGGAAUUAUGGUCGCAAGACUGAAACUCAAAGGAAUUGACGG
rnacentral:rRNA from 1 species